UGGGGAAUAUUGGACAAUGGGCGCAAGCCUGAUCCAGCCAUGCCGCGUGAGUGAUGAAGGCCCUAGGGUUGUAAAGCUCUUUCACCGGUGAAGAUAAUGACGGUAACCGGAGAAGAAGCCCCGGCUAACUUCGUGCCAGCAGCCGCGGUAAUACGAAGGGGGCUAGCGUUGUUCGGAUUUACUGGGCGUAAAGCUCACGUAGGCGGACUUUUAAGUCAGGGGUGAAAUCCCGGGGAUCAACCCCGGAACUGCCUUUGAUACUGGAAGUCUUGAGUAUGGUAGAGGUGAGUGGAAUUCCAAGUGUAGAGGUGAAAUUCGUAGAUAUUCGGAGGAACACCAGUGGCGAAGGCGGCUCACUGGACCAUUACUGACGCUGAGGUGCGAAAGCGUGGGGAGCAAACAGG
rnacentral:rRNA from 1 species